rnacentral:rRNA from 1 species
GUUCCCUCAUGCAGGUCGAGCGCGCCCCCGCGGCGCGCGUCACGCAUCAGACCUC